rnacentral:rRNA from 1 species
AUUGAACGCUGGCGGCAUGCCUUACACAUGCAAGUCGAACGGCAGCACGGGUGCUUGCACCUGGUGGCGAGUGCCGAACGGGUGAGUAAUACAUCGGAACGUACCUUAUCGUGGGGGAUCACGCAGCGAAAGCUGUGAUAAUACCGCAUACGCCCUGAGGGGGAAAGCGGGGGAUCGCAAGACCGCGCGCGAUGAGAGCGGCAGAUGCCUGAUUAGCUUGUUGGUGGGGUAAAAGCCCACCAAGGCGACGAUCAGUAGCUGGUCUGAGAGGACGAUCAGCCACACUGGGACUGAGACACGGCCCAGACUCCUACGGGAGGCAGCAGUGGGGAAUUUUGGACAAUGGGGGCAACCCUGAUCCAGCAAUGCCGCGUGAGUGAAGAAGGCCUUCGGGUUGUAAAGCUCUUUUGUCAGGGAAGAAACACCGGCUCUAACACAGUCUGGGAACGACGGUACCUGAAGAAUAAGCACCGGCUAACUACGUGCCAGCCGCCGCCGUAA